rnacentral:rRNA from 1 species
GCCAUCAUUUAUAGAAAGCGUAAUAGCUCACUGGUCGAGUCGGCUGCGCGGAAGAUGUAACGGGGCUAAACCAUGCACCGAAGCUGCGGCAGCGACACGAAUGUGUUGUUGGGUAGGGGAGCGUUCUGUAAGCCGGUGAAGGUGAACUGUGAGGUUUGCUGGAGGUAUCAGAAGUGCGAAUGCUGACAUAAGUAACGAUAAAGCGGGUGAAAAACCCGCUCGCCGGAAGACCAAGGGUUCCUGUCCAACGUUAAUCGGGGCAGGGUGAGUCGACCCCUAAGGCGAGGCUGAAAAGCGUAGUCGAUGGGAAACAGGUUAAUAUUCCUGUACUGGCCAUAAUUGCGAUGGGGGGACGGAGAAGGCUAGGCAAGCCGGGCGACGGUCGUCCCGGUUUAAGUGUGUAGGUGGGAUAACUUGGCAAAUCCGGUUAUCCAGGACACUGAGGCACGAUGACGAGGCAUUACGGUGCUGAAGUUGCUGAUGCCCCGCUUCCAGGAAAAGCCCCUAAGCGUCAGAUUAUGGUCAAUCGUACCCCAAACCGACACAGGUGGUCAGGUAGAGAAUACUCAGGCGCUUGAGAGAACUCGGGUGAAGGAACUAGGCAAAAUGGUGCCGUAACUUCGGGAGAAGGCACGCUGGCGUUAGGUGAAGAAACACGCUUUCGGAGCCGAGGCCAGUCGCAGAUACCAGCUGGCUGCAACUGUUUAAUAAAAACACAGCACUGUGCAAACACGAAAGUGGACGUAUACGGUGUGACGCCUGCCCGGUGCUGGAAGGUUAAUUGAUGGGGUUAGCCGCAAGGCGACGCUCUUGAUCGAAGCCCCAGUAAACGGCGGC